UUCCUCCACAUCCAACAAUUCUAUCUCCAUCACAUCAACUUGGAGUUAGUAAAAUCAUUCUCUAAUGUGCUUUUAUUGUUCAUUAGAAAAAUGAACUUCAAAGUUCAACCUGAAAUUCCACAGGUUAAAUUAGCGAGGCAAGUUGUUCAUCUGAAAUAUUACGCAAGUUUUAGGAACAAAAGCUCGAAUUCACAGUGAGAAUUUCUUCCAAAACCUCUACCUACAAAUAUUGCUUUUUCAAAAUAUUAAAUAUCAAACAAUUGUAGCUUUUUUUGGUUCCGCUCAUAGAAAUUUAAUUUACUAUGACAAAACAGGUUUCACACGUGCAACAAACUCUUUAAAAAUGUCGGCCGUUGAGUGUCGGAUUCGCCCAAAGUAGUGUAUUUUUGGAGAAUCCGACACGGGUGCGGCAUCAAAAGAGGAGAGUCCGCGCAACUUAGGCAACAAUCUUAACUCCAGAUUAUUACACAGCCAGAAGCCAGAACACAAGAAAAUUAUCCUCAUUAAGGUCUUGCAAAGGUCGCAAGCAUAUCUAGCAAUCGUUAAGGUCUUACUCAACAACUCCAUGAUCAAGAAGGUUCAGAUUGGAUAAUACUGGACACUGAAGAACAGUUUCCUACCUCAACCUCCCUCUUCUGACUCUUCAUAUGCCUCUUCUUCCUCACCCCGACCACGCUCUUGCUCUUCUUCAUAUUCUGGCUCCUCCUCCUGAAUAGACUUUCUACACGGUGGAGGCCUCUCUUCUUCCUCUUCAGUUUCAUACUCAGAAGACUCUUUCUCACCGUCAUCAAAGUUAACAGGGCGUCUAGAACGCUUUGAAGCAGGCAAUGAUGUUUGUCUAGGAGUAUCUCUCUGACAAAAGGGAGAAUCUUCAUUUUACUUCACUUACUACACCUUUUUCGUAUUAGUGAUUCGCUUCUCUACCAUUUCUAGGUCUUCUUCAAAGAGAUGUCGAGCAGCAGACCUGCGAGAGUCAUAGUCAUCAGUCUCCUCUUCCUGAUAAUGGGAGAAAAUUCCUUAGGGGGAUGUGAUAGAUCAAAGGCAACACUUGUAUAAACGUUGAGUUGUGUUAAGCAAGUAAUUACCCACUCAAGAGCAAGCAAGGAUCAGGAAGUUUCUACGUAUCAUGCCACUGAAAAAUACAUAGACUAGGAAUUGAGACUAUUCAAUCUAGAUAUGAUUCAUCAAAAUUCAAUUGCAGCAAAUGCUUAUAUUUAAAAGUCCACCUAAUACUGAUCUCACACUUAGUACCACCUCACUUAAAUGGAAUAGCUUUCAGCUUCAGAUCACUUAGUCUUUCAAGGGCAUAAAGAAGACAACAAAAUUGUAAAGGAAUCAAUUGAUAACUGCGUAUGGGCUCCCUUGCUAGCCAAAAAUCCAACUGGUAGUGUUCGUUGUGUAAAACUUUAAACACUUAAUGCACAUCAGAAUCUCGUACACGAUAAUCUUAUAGAGAUAAGUUAUAAAAAAUAUACCUGAUGUGGAAGACAUUAGUGCACGCACAGAGAAGUGGAAGAGUUAAUACGAAUUUGGUUUCUACCUCUUUGUCCUAACCUUACUUUAUCACAACUUUUAGUGAUGGAGAAGAUGUAGAGAAUAUGUGAUAACGU
rnacentral:lncRNA from 1 species